GGGGGGCAUCGAAGAGUUUCCCUUCGGACACUCGGAGUUUGAGAUCCUUGUGAUUUCUGUCGCAUAUUCAGGUUUGAAGCCGGGAAGAAAAUCCAGGCCAGAGAUGAUCGUUUGGAGUCCCCAGCACACGGAUGGGUAGCCAUACCUCUUAACAUGGCGUCAGACAUUGGUCACAUUUCCGGGAGCAGCCGAGGAAAGCGUGGGGCGCAUCCGGCCCCUCGGUGGUACUCCUGGCUGGCGUGAAUCCUUGCAGCGCCUGUUGGCCCGUCUGGUGGCGAGCACCGCACGAGCCACCUUGAACCCAGACUUCCCGUCCGCCCGUCUUUGAACCCAGACGAGACUUGGGGAGAUGACCUAGUUGACUAAGCUAGAGGCACGGUGGCCAUUCUCUGUGUUGUGAUCAAGCCAGAACUGCUUUCCGAGGAAAACCUGGGCUCUGUCUUCAGAUACCGCCUCGGAGCUCCUCCCUCUGAGGGGAAAUGGCUGUCGAGCUGUCCAGGUCGGUACCCAUCCCGACCUGGGCAUGACGGGCAUGGCGUCCAGAAGCCCCUCC
rnacentral:lncRNA from 1 species